GGUAGUAGCAAAUAUUCAAAUGAGAACUUUGAAGAGUGAAGUGGGGAAAUGUUCCAUGUGAACAUCACUUGGACAUGGCCGAUUAGUCGAUCCUAAGAGAUGGGGAAUACUUGUAUCAAGGGUGCACUCUGCAUGAACAUCGAAAGAGAAUUGGGUUAAUAUUCCCGAAUCGGGACAUGGUGGUGGACGACAAUGUUAGGAAAUCUGGAGAUGUCAUUGGGGGCCUGGGAAGAGUUAUAUUUUCUUUUUAACGACUUUCCCACCCUGAAAUUGGUUCAACUGGAGAUAGGGUCCAACAUCUGGAAGAGAACCACACGUCUUUCGGUGUUUGGUGCCCCCUCGGAGGCCAUUUAAAAUAUGGAGAACCGAGUACCAUCCAUGCCCGAUUGCACUCAUAUCUGCCUCCUUGGAUUUUUCAAUGCCC
rnacentral:ncRNA from 1 species